UCUUCGGCUAAAUAAAUAGCUUGAAGAGUGUCCCAUAUCUCUUUAGCAUAUUUGCAUUUAACAUAAUAUUGAUCAUAAUAUUUGUUAGACAUUCCUCCAAGAAUAUAAUUCUUGCACAAAUAAUCAUCAUAUUGCCAUUUGGCAAUUUGUUCUUUAAUCAAAGUAGCCUCGUCAGAUGCUACCUCAGAACCAGGAGCAUUAGGGCAAGGUUCUUC
rnacentral:lncRNA from 1 species